AGUUAGAGGUUCGAAGGGCGAUUAGAUACCGCCCCUAGUUCUAACCCAUAAACGAUGCCANGCUAGCGAUCUGCCGACGUUUUUUUUGUAGACUCGGCAGGAAGCUUCCGGGAAACCAAAGCAUUUGGGUUCCAGGGGAAGUAUGGUUGCAAAGCUGAAACUUAAAGGAAUUGACGGAAGGGCACCACCAGGAGUGGAGCCUGUGGCUUAAUUUGACUCAACACGGGAAAUCUCACCAGGCCCGGACACUGGAAGGAUUGACAGAUUGAUAGCUCUUUCUUGAUUCGGUGGGUGGUGGUGCAUGGCCGUUCUUAGUUGGUGGAGUGAUUUGUCUGGUUAAUUCCGAUAACGAACGAGACUCUGUCCUGCUAAAUAGUGUCCGCCUCUCUUUUGGGCGGACAAUUCUUCUUAGAGGGACUGGCGACUCUCAGUCGCACGAGAUUGAGCAAUAACAGGUCUGUGAUGCCCUUAGAUGUUCUGGGCCGCACACGCGCUACACUGAAUAGAUCAACGUGUUCCCCCUGUCCGAGAGGACCGGGUAAACCGCUGAACCCUAUUCGUGGUAGGGAUCGGGGCUUGCAAUUGUUCCCCGUAAACCAGGAAUUCCCAGUAGGCGCAAGUCAUAAGCUUGUGUCGAUUACGUCCCUGCCCUUUGUACACACCGCCCGUCGCUACUACCGAUUGAACGUUUUAGUGAGGUCCUCGGACUGUUUGGUAGGCGGAUUGCUCUGCCUGCCUGGCGGGAAGACGACCAA
rnacentral:rRNA from 1 species